GUGGAUGUGGCGUAAUUGGCAGACGCAGCAGAUUUAAGCUCUGCUAUCUUAAUGGUGUAUGGGUUCAAGUCCCAUCAUCCACA
rnacentral:tRNA from 2 species